AAGGUAGCGAAAUUCCUUGUCGGGUAAGUUCCGACCUGCACGAAUGGAGUAACGACUUCCCCGCUGUCUCAACCAUGAACUCGGCGAAAUUGCAGUACGAGUAAAGAUGCUCGUUACGCGCAGCAGGACGGAAAGACCCCGAGACCUUUACUAUAGUUUGGUAUUGGUGUUCGGUGUGGCUUGUGUAGGAUAGGUGGGAGACGGUGAAGCGGGCACGCCAGUGCACGUGGAGUCAACGUUGAAAUACCACUCUGGUCACUCUGGACAUCUAACUUCGGCCCGUGAUCCGGGUCAGGGACAGUGCCUGAUGGGUAGUUUAACUGGGGCGGUUGCCUCCUAAAGAGUAACGGAGGCGCCCAAAGGUUCCCUCAGCCUGGUUGGCAAUCAGGUGUCGAGUGUAAGUGCACAAGGGAGCUUGACUGUGAGAGCGACAGCUCGAGCAGGGACGAAAGUCGGGACUAGUGAUCCGGCGGUACAUUGUGGAAUGGCCGUCGCUCAACGGAUAAAAGGUACCUCGGGGAUAACAGGCUGAUCUUGCCCAAGAGUCCAUAUCGACGGCAUUGUUUGGCACCUCGAUGUCGGCUCAUCGCAUCCUGGGGCUGGAGCAGGUCCCAAGGGUUUGGCUGUUCGCCAAUUAAAGCGGUACGUGAGCUGGGUUUAGAACGUCGUGAGACAGUUCGGUCCCUAUCUGCCGUGGGUGUUGGAUACUUGAGAGGAGCUGUCCCUAGUACGAGAGGACCGGGAUGGACGCACCACUGGUGUUUCUGUUGUCAUGCCAAUGGCAUUGCAGAGUAGCUACGUGCGGACGGGAUAACCGCUGAAAGCAUCUAAGCGGGAAGCCCCCCUCAAAACCAGGUAUCCCUAUCAGAGCCGUGGAAGACCACCACGUUGAUAGGCUGGAAGUGGAAGCGCAGCAAUGCGUGAAGCGGACCAGUACUAAUUGCUCGAUCGGCUUGAU
rnacentral:rRNA from 12 species